AGAGCAGUGUAGCUCUGUGGUACGGCAUCUGCCUUGCAUGCCAAAGGCUCCAGGUCCAAUCCCUGGUAUCUCUG